rnacentral:rRNA from 1 species
CCUACGGGAGGCAGCAGUGGGGAAUAUUGGGCAAUGGAGGAAACUCUGACCCAGCGACGCCGCGUGAGGGAUAAAGGCCUUCGGGUUGUAAACCUCUUUCAGUAGGGAAGAAGCGAAAGUGACGGUACCUACAGAAGAAGCACCGGCUAACUAUGUGCCAGCAGCCGCGGUAAUACAUAGGGUGCAAGCGUUGUCCGGAAUUAUUGGGCGUAAAGAGCUCGUAGGUGGUUCGAUACGUCGGAUGUGAAAAUCAGGGGCUCAACCCCUGACCUGCAUCCGAUACGGUCGAGCUAGAGUUUGGUAGGGGAGACUGGAAUUCCUGGUGUAGCGGUGGAAUGCGCAGAUAUCAGGAGGAACACCGAUGGCGAAGGCAGGUCUCUGGGCCAAUACUGACACUGAGGAGCGAAAGCGUGGGGAGCGAACAGGAUUAGAUACCCUGGUAGUCCACGCCGUAAACGGUGGGCGCUAGUUGUGCGAACCUUCCACGGUUUGUGCGACGCAGCUAACGCAUUAAGCGCCCCGCCUGGGGAGUACGGAUCGCAAGAUUAAAACUCAAAUGAAUUGACGG